rnacentral:rRNA from 1 species
UGUUGCCUACGGGACGCAGCAGUGGGGGAUAUUGCACAAUGGGGGGAACCCUGAUGCAGCGACGCCGCGUGGGUGAAGAAGCGCCUCGGCGCGUAAAGCCCUGUCAGCAGGGAAGAAAAUGACGGUACCUGAAGAAGAAGCCCCGGCUAACUACGUGCCAGCAGCCGCGGUAAUACGUAGGGGGCAAGCGUUAUCCGGAUUUACUGGGUGUAAAGGGGGCGCAGACGGCGAUGCAAGCCAGGAGUGAAAGCCCGGGGCCCAACCGUGGGACUGCUCUGGAAACUGUAGAGCUGGAGUGCGGGAGG